GCUAGGCGUGGUGGUGCGUGCCUGUAAUCCCAGCUACUGGGGAGGCUGAGGCAGGAGAAUCGCUUGAACCCAGGAGGAGGUUGCAGUGAGCCGAGAUCGUGCCACUGCACUCCAGCCUGGGCAACAGAGUGAGACUCUGUCUCAA
rnacentral:SRP_RNA from 1 species